rnacentral:rRNA from 1 species
UACGAAGGGGGCGAGCGUUGUUCGGAAUCACUGGGCGUAAAGGGCGCGUAGGCGGCCCUUCUUGUCGCGUGUGAAAGCCCCGGGCUCAACCUGGGAAUGGCGCGCGAGACGGGGGGGCUGGAGUUCGGGAGAGGAGCGUGGAAUUCCCAGUGUAGAGGUGAAAUUCGUAGAUAUCGGGAGGAACACCAGUGGCGAAGGCGGCUUCCUGGCCUGUUCUUGACGCUGAGGCGCGAAAGCUAGGGGAGCAAACGGG